rnacentral:lncRNA from 1 species
CGGCUGCCCCGCGGGGAGCGCGGAGGCACACCGUCUCCUACUCCCACCCAGCUCCUAGAAUGUAGGAGAGUGUAGAGUUCAAAAAGCCCGGAAGUAAAACAACCCCAGGUUAAGAAAGUAAGGGUAAGCUCUAGCAGUCGGCAAAAGCGCUCGGCAAAAAAACCCCGACUUCUCCAGAAAAACUUUGCGGCAAGUUAAGCGGAAGCGCUGAAUGGCCGGGACUAUUUAACUCGCGCUUCCUCUCACAAGAGGCGGAUCCCUGGACCUGUUUGGGGGACCCUGACGGUCCACAAACUCGCCGUUUGCCUGCUGGGUGGCCCUCUAGAAGUUCUGACAUCCUAAAAGGUCUGGGCAGUCCCGCUGACGGGGAAUACCUGUCGUAGUACCCAUUGCCUGCGAGUCCCUGAUGGCGGCCAUUACACUUCCAUCCGGGUAUUGCCGAAAAGCUGAUCGCAGCGCUACCGGGAGCGCACGCUGCGGCGGAGGGAUCUGCGCUUUACCUGAGACAAGCGGAAGAGAACGGAGGCCGGCAGGGUCCGCGCUCGGUCUGACGAGACUAGGCCAUGGAGCUGGGUUCGCCGCUGACCUCUCCAUCUAGCGCGCGGCCCCGGCGCCCACCAGUCCAGUGACCCACUACUACCUCUUUGCUCACCAGCAGCUGCUGAUCUUACUGCCGGUGAAAUGGCAGACAAACGUCUACUCUGUGCUCUUCAGAGUAGACACCAGGAGCAGGAACUGUAUGCACUUCCCAAGCCCUUGCUGACUGGGAAUGGUCUCCACCCUGAGAUUUUAACCAGUUCCGGUUUAGCAAAUGGCGCCUCCCCACCUCUGGCUUCUGGCACGCAGGUUUUAGCAACCAUUGUAGCCCACGUCAACGAAAGAAGCUGCCGCCAGUAGUUCUAGAAGACAUACUGAACUCCAAACCUGUAUAUAUUGAAUAAUUGAUCAAAAACUAUCUUCACAAUGAGGGAGGCUCACAUCUCCCUCAAACGAAUACUUCCUCUACCUGACAACAGGGCUGGACAGUUAAUAUGGUUGGCUUUACCCCAAAGGCCAGUGUGGCUCCUCUUCUGUUCUUUAUAAAUCCAACCUACUAAUUGAUACCUCACUUUCUACAUAAUUCUACAUAAAUUAUCUUCCUUUUAAAAUGUGGGGAGGGAAUAAGUGGCGGCAAACGUUUAAGCAACAACAAAAAACCUUGGCGCAGAAGGAUAUACCAAUAAAUUGAAAGUGAAACUAUGAUCAGAUUUUUCAUUUUUUAAUGUUCCGUGUUUUCUUAAGUAGCAUGUAUGACAUUUAUAAUUUUUAAAAAUUUUUUAAAAUAUGUGUAUGAUACAUAUUUUUCAUUGUCUUAGGGCAGGCUUUUGAAAAUGUCAGCCUGUAGCCAAAUGCAAGAUUUUCUCCAUCCUUUAAUAAAAAGCACACUGAGAAAUCCUCA